rnacentral:rRNA from 1 species
UCCUGGUGGCGAGUGGCGAACGGGUGAGUAAUACAUCGGAACGUGUCCUGUAGUGGGGGAUAGCCCGGCGAAAGCCGGAUUAAUACCGCAUACGCUCUACGGAGGAAAGGGGGGGAUCUUAGGACCUCUCGCUACAGGGGCGGCCGAUGGCAGAUUAGCUAGUUGGUGGGGUAAAGGCCUACCAAGGCGACGA